GACUUAUCAUAAAUACAAAGGACGAGAAAAUCUUCGUUUUUAAGUGGAUUGGAAUAUAAACAGUCCCAGAUGCAAGACAACCCGAGGCUGAUACCUGAUAGAGUCUAGGUUUUGCAAAAGAAAAAGGAAAAAAAGAGAAAAAGGAAAACACUCGGUUGCUUUUGCGCGAACUCCAUACAAGUCAUGUACUCCCCGAGAUGCACGCAGAUGCAGAUCCACCUCGAUCCUGUAGAUCCAGAUUAUACUCCGAUAGAUUACGGAAUCAAGUUCACUGCCUUUCCCCUUCUUGCACCUCAAUUAGCUUAGUUUGUUGAAGAGAGGAAAUCAAGAAACGGCGGCGAGGGGUACCACGAAAGGAAGCCAGCGCUAUGUCGGCGCUGUUCAACUUCAACUCGUUCCUGAUUGUCGUGCUGCUAGUGAUCUGCACCUGCACCUACAUCAAGAUGCAGUUCCCUGCCAUCCUCAACGAUCGCACUGGAUUCCGUGGUUUCUUUUGGAAAGCAGCCCGAAUAGGCCCUCUGACUUCCAGCUAUGUCUUGUGUGACUCCCGCGAAGCAUGUAGGGGAAGCUCGAACAGCUUUCUCCACCAGCAGCUUAUGUAGUGGUCAGCAUUCCUACGUGCUCUGGCUGAUCCUCGCUUUGGUGAUGAAGGGCACCCUGGGGGUGACUAUGAUAGGAUUCCGUGGUGAACGUCUGAGCCCUUGGGUAGCAUUUGGGUGCUUCGCUAUGGGGGUGUCCACUAUCUUCUUCUGAAGGCCAGAGCAAUCACAUCCCUGGCUGCAGAAGUUCUUUUGUAGGAAGAACCAUGUCACAUUGUAUUUCUUAGAGAAGCCUUUUUUUUUCAGUUUAAUAGGGAUGGAGAGGUACUGUUGUGCCCCUGGGGAAAGACGGAAAUGGUAACGUGAUUGUUCUGUGGUUAGUAAAUCACCGAUGAUUGAUUAUGUUCUAUGGAAGGUUUAUUGGGCCGUGCAAAA